CACGAACCGGACAAACGUUAUUCGGAAUUACUGGGCUUAAAGGGUGCGUAGGCGGUGCGGUAAGUGCGGUGUGAAAUCCCACGGCUCAACCGUGGAAUUGCGCUGCAUACUGCCGUGCUAGAGCGAGACAGGGGUAAGCGGAACUGAUGGUGGAGCGGUGAAAUGCGUUGAUAUCAUCAGGAACACCAGUGGCGAAAGCGGCUUACUGGGUCUCUUCUGACGCUGAGGCACGAAAGCUAGGGUAGCGAACGGG
rnacentral:misc_RNA from 1 species